GGAAGGAUCAUUGAAUCUAUAAAAACCACAAUGUGAACCCCAACGUUAGUCGAAUCCUGGUCCUUUGGUCGGUGCCUAGUGCAUCGACCAGAGGUGCUCGAGCACGACCCCAGAGAAAGAGAAACUGGUCACCCCGCCCCUUAUGAUGCAUUGAUGCCCUCCCAACUAGCAGUGGCGGGAACUUGUACUUCGGGUCUUUACACGUUUGUACGAGACGCAGUCAUCUUGGGUGUUAGCACGGUUGCGGAAGCAGCCCUGCUGUGAAUGGAUCUUUCUCCUAUCUGGGCGAAUGCGGAAGCAGGCUUGUCCCCGGUGCUUUGUUACUGCUAACCCCAGUGGCAAAGCAGCGACGGAUAGGCAGCUAGUGGACGACACCCCUGUCCAACCACUCUAAACAAAACCAACUGAAGCUUAAGCGUCAGCUUGCUGAUUGCUAAAACCAAAGACAACUCUCAACAACGGAUAUCUUGGCUCUCGCAACGAUGAAGAACGCAGCGAAAUGCGAUACGUAGUGUGAAUUGCAGAAUUCCGUGAACCAUCGAAUCUUUGAACGCAUAUUGCGGUCGAGCUUUCGGGCGAGACCAUGUCUGCCUCAGCGUCGGUAUUACCAUCCCCCAACACCCUUGUAUGCCUCUGGCAUGCAAGUCGUGAGGCCCUUGCUUCAUAGCGAGUGGCCGUUUGGGGGGAUCUGGCAGUCUCUAACUCCUUACUAUAGACGUUUGGAGGGGGGGUCUGCUUAAGCACAAAGUGAGAGGACAUUACCUCUCUUCGGGUCAUGUAGUCCACUCCUCACGAUCAACCCUAACGGGCUUUUCGUUCAGGCGUCCUGCACGAUGUUGAGUUGGUACUUCUGCUUGCAGAUUACUCCCACUAAAAGGAAUGUGCGCUUGCGCACAACAAUACUUUCGACCUGAGCUCAGGCAAGAUUACCCGCUGAACUUAAGCAUAUCACUAAGCGGAGGAAAAGAAACUAACAAGGAUUCCCCUAGUAACGGCGAGCGAACCGGGAAAAGCCCAGAAUGUAAAUCUCCCUCGGAGAAUUGUAGUCUAUAGAAGCAUUCACUGUAGCGGACGCGACUUAAGUCUCCUGGAAAGGGGCGUCAGAGAGGGUGAGAACCCCGUCGGUCGUAGUCUAGCUGCUCCACGUGGUGCUUUCACAGAGUCGGGUUGCUUGGGAAUGCAGCCCUAAUUUGGUGGUAAAUCCCAUCUAAGGCUAAAUAUUGGCGAGAGACCGAUAGCGAACAAGUACCGUGAGGGAAAGAUGAAAAGAACUUUGAAAAGAGAGUUAAAAAGUGCUUGAAAUUGUUGAGGGGGAAGCGAUUGGAAGUUAUGGGUGCGCCUAGGCUUAUGGGUACUUAACGGUGCUCUGUACGUGCUAGGUGCUGGUCAACAUGGGUUGGGCUAGCAGGAUAAACGCUAAGAAUGCUCUUGGUCUAUACUGCUGGCCCGGCUGAGGAAUGAAUGGCGCCCUUGUCCUUCGGGAACUGCGUCAUCAAGAUGUUGGCGAAAGGUUUCCAAUCGACCCGUCUUGAAACACGGACCAAGGAGUCUAACAUGUAUGCGAGCUGGUGGGUGGUAAACCCAUGAAGCGCAAGUAACCUGACUGGUGGGAGGGCCUGUGCCUGCACCAUCGACCGACCAUGAUCUUCUGUGAAAGGUUUGAGUUUGAGCAUACCUGUUGGGACCCGAAAGAUGGUGAACUAUGCCUGAGCAGGGCGAAGCCAGAGGAAACUCUGGUGGAGGCUCGUAGAUGUGCUGACGUGCAAAUCGCUUUUCGGACUUGGGUAUAGGGGCGAAAGACUAAUCGAACCAUCUAGUAGCUGGUUCCCUC
rnacentral:misc_RNA from 1 species